UGCAGUCGAGCGAACUGAUUAGAAGCUUGCUUCUAUGACGUUAGCGGCGGACGGGUGAGUAACACGUGGGCAACCUGCCUGUAAGACUGGGAUAACUUCGGGAAACCGAAGCUAAUACCGGAUAGGAUCUUCUCCUUCAUGGGAGAUGAUUGAAAGAUGGUUUCGGCUAUCACUUACAGAUGGGCCCGCGGUGCAUUAGCUAGUUGGUGAGGUAACGGCUCACCAAGGCAACGAUGCAUAGCCGACCUGAGAGGGUGAUCGGCCACACUGGGACUGAGACACGGCCCAGACUCCUACGGGAGGCAGCAGUAGGGAAUCUUCCGCAAUGGACGAAAGUCUGACGGAGCAACGCCGCGUGAGUGAUGAAGGCUUUCGGGUCGUAAAACUCUGUUGUUAGGGAAGAACAAGUACGAGAGUAACUGCUCGUACCUUGACGGUACCUAACCAGAAAGCCACGGCUAACUACGUGCCAGCAGCCGCGGUAAUACGUAGGUGGCAAGCGUUAUCCGGAAUUAUUGGGCGUAAAGCGCGCGCAGGCGGUUUCUUAAGUCUGAUGUGAAAGCCCACGGCUCAACCGUGGAGGGUCAUUGGAAACUGGGGAACUUGAGUGCAGAAGAGAAAAGCGGAAUUCCACGUGUAGCGGUGAAAUGCGUAGAGAUGUGGAGGAACACCAGUGGCGAAGGCGGCUUUUUGGUCUGUAACUGACGCUGAGGCGCGAAAGCGUGGGGGAGCAAACAGGAUUAGAUACCCUGGUAGUCCACGCCGUAAACGAUGAGUGCUAAGUGUUAGAGGGUUUCCGCCCCUUUAGUGCUGCAGCUAACGCAUUAAAGCACUCCGCCUGGGGGAGUACGGUCGCAAAGACUGAAAACUCAAAGGGAAUUGACGGGGGGCCCGCACAAGCGGUGGGAGCAUGUGGGUUUAAUUCGAAAGCAACGCGAAAAAACCUUACCAGGGUCUUGGACAUCCUCUGGACAACUCUAGAGAAUAGAAGCGUUUCCCCUUCGGGGGGACAGAAAUGA
rnacentral:rRNA from 2 species